UAGAUUGACCACUCCCAAGGUACCUUGUUUUUAAAGUGAAACGGGAAGCUGGUGUAAAUCCAGCGCUACCCUCGUAACGGUAAGCAUGUUUUUCAGAACAACGCCAUUGUAGCUCUUGCUAUGAGAAGACUCUGAAGACAGAUAUUUUUUAGACAUAGAUAUCACUUGCAAGCCCGGAGACCGGCCUUGAGCAAUCUUAAGUC
rnacentral:ncRNA from 2 species